rnacentral:lncRNA from 1 species
AAGUCGGUGAUGUUGAGGCCGAAACCCACUGGAAACUUUGUUGUAGUUCUCACCCGACUAUUUCCACAGAGCCGGAACCGAGCGAGCCGGCGAGCGACCGAGGUAAAGGUAUCGCACCUUAGUCAGAGGCCACCAGAGUUGGGUUUAUAUUUUGUUAGUAGUUAUCCCUUAUAUCAUAUUUUGUAUUUGAUAAUUUAAAAUGUUGACGUAUUAAGCAAGGAAAGAAAGAAUGUAAAGCUCUCUUUUGAGGUAAAUGAGAUGUAAGAAAGAAAUGAUGUAGUGAUGUAAUGAAAUGUAAGGAAGUUGAAAAUGUUCAAGUUAGACUUUAUGUAU